rnacentral:rRNA from 1 species
CCUACGGGGGGCAGCAGUGAGGAAUAUUGGUCAAUGGACGAGCGUCUGAACCAGCCAAGUAGCGUGAAGGAUGACUGCCCUAUGGGUUGUAAACUUCUUUUAUAUGGGAAUAAAAUGUUCCACGUGUGGGAUUUUGUAUGUACCAUAUGAAUAAGGAUCGGCUAACGCCGUGCCAGCAGCCGCGGUAAUACGGAGGAUCCGAGCGUUAUCCGGAUUUAUUGGGUUUAAAGGGAGCGUAGGUUGAUUGUUAAGUCAGUUGUGAAAGUUUGCGGCUGAACCGUAAAAUUGCAGUUGAAACUGGCAGUCUUGAGUACAGUAGAGGUGGGCGGAAUUCGUGGGGUAGCGGUGAAAUGCUUAGAUAUCACGAAGAACUCCGAUUGCGAAGGCAGUUCACUGGACUGCAACUGACACUGAGGCUCGAAAGUGUGGGUAUCAAACAGGAUUAGAUACCCGAGUAGUC